rnacentral:misc_RNA from 1 species
GAUGAAGAACGCAGCGAAAUGCGAUACGUAAUGUGAAUUGCAGAAUUCAGUGAAUCAUCGAAUCUUUGAACGCGCAUUGCGCCCGCCAGCACUCUGGCGGGCAUGCCUGUUCGAGCGUCAUUUCAACCAUCAAGCCCCAGGCUUGCGUUGGAGCCCUGCGGCUGCCGCAGCCUCCUAAAAGCAGUGGCGGGCUCGCUAUCACACCGAGUGCAGUAGAUUACUCUUCGCUCAGGGCGUGCAGCGGGUUCCGGCCGUGAAACCCCCUACUUUUAAAGGUUGACCUCGGAUCAGGUAGGAAUACCCGCUGAACUUAAGCAUAUCAAUAAGCGGAGGA